AACAAAUGUAACAUUACUUAGAAGUGGAUGCGAUGAUUGUCAGGAUAUGUGAGCCAUGCUUGGAUAAUGUUCAUCAUGGGUCUGGGCAAAGUUCUCCAUAAAUGAAGACAAAACCUUGACAGUGACUGAUGAUGGAGGAAUGGAAGUGGAUGCUGAUGUGUUUCCAGAGCUGGUUACCAAGGACAUGUGCUUAGUCAUCCAUGAUUCUGAUAAAGGUUCUUCAAGACUUCAGCCUUCUUGUUGGAUCUGAAACAUCUGCAAGACAUCUGGAAAGAGGGCCCUCGUACAAACCCAAGCUGAUAAAAGAAAGACCUGCACUACAAGCUACAAACACCAUUGCUGCA